rnacentral:lncRNA from 1 species
AAGAAAUAAAAAACAAUAACAGCAACAACAACAAUAACAAAAGCCUUAUUUUUUCCAAAAUGCUUUUAGGAAGCUGUUUCUUAUGCCUCAGACUCCUAGAAUCUCAUGAAGGAUGCAAUUUCUUUGACAUUGACCAACUCCACUUGCCUCUUAGAGGAGAUGAUGUGAGUAAAGCAACAGAAAUUCACAUGAAGGUGUAGAACAUUGCUUCUGGGUCAUCUUCAGAUACAUAUUUGGGCAGAGAAAGGGAGGCCAGAUAGUCCUAUCUGCAUAUGAGUUCGAGUCCCCUCCCAGUGGGGCUGCGGCCAUGCUGAGCUGAGCUCUGUCUUCUCUGUGGAUUCACAGUCCCAGGCUCGUGACCACGAAGAGGACCUGGUGAGGGUCAGAGAUGGGGACUCACUGAGCCAGGUGCUUCUUCACCCACCUCACUUCAGGUCCCAUUGACCCAUAUUGGGUCCCAUGUCAUCUAUGAAGAGCCUGGGAAAGUGGCUGUGUGUCCAGCAUCGAUUAUUACAGGAUGCUGGCUGCAUCAACCAGAAGGAAGGAGAAAGAGAGCUAUGAGCAGGCACUCCAGAGCAUUGUUGCCCAGGAAAAUCCUUUUAAUCCAGGUUUCCCCAGUGAGAGGUCACUGAUUAAGCUUCAUCAGUCAUCAUUUUCUGUGUGAAUGAAUUCCCAUCCCUCUUUCCUUCUGGCGGGAUCAUCAAGUCUGAUGAGGCUGGGGAAGAGGUUUGCGGCCAGUGGAGCAAUGAGGCUGUGUGGGGAAGGUCCCCAGAGAGGUAAUUCGGCUGUCUGUCAAAAGGACAAGGAUACUCAGAGCUGCAGCCUGGAGGCCUGAGGCCUGAAUCCAAUGCACUGACCUGCCGUGUUCAAACUGUACAGAAACAACGAAAACAUUAUUUGAUUUAACAAAAUUAGGAGCUCCUCAGAACCAAGAGGAAUGGGGGACGCUAAACGUGGACUGGCCGCUACUGCUAGCCAAGCUGGCCAGUGAGGACAUGGUGGACACAAGGCUGUCACCUGUGUGACGUGAGCUCAGCAGCUCAUGUACAUUUCGCUUCAUGCCCACCUCGCCAGCCUGCACUUCCCACACUCCAGCCCCUGUGUACCCGUAACACAAGAUCACUCUGAGUACCCAGCACUCCCUUGCGUAGGUUUGGCCAUGUCUGACAGCGCAUGCUGUUAAUCUGUGUACCCAUGCAUGCACAAAAACACAAACACACACAAACACAUCUUUAAAGUGACAUAGGUUUUCUUGAAAUAAUUUCAAAAGACACAUUUUUUAUUAUUUUAAAUAGAAGGUCACCAUCACUUGCCACAAACAGAAGACAUGCAAAACCAUAUUAAAACAAAAUGUUUAAGAAUUCCAGCCAGAUUUAGUUUCUUGUCAAAGCUCUCUGCCAGAGGCCUGUGUCCUUUUGCUAUGGAAGAAGACUGGGACCAGGAGCAGUGGCUCACUCCUGUAACCGCAGCACUUUGGGAGGCUGAGGCCUAUGGAUCACCCGAGAUGCAGUGGUUUGAGACAUAGUAACUGAAGAUAUGGACACUAAAUCCCUCCAUAUUUCUAUACAGUGAAAAAUCAAUAAUGGUAAUUGGAAUCUCUGUCUCCCUCAGCCCUGAUUUAUCCUUCCUCUUUGUGGUUUAUACUUUCCAUGUAUGAACCAUAAAACUGUAAUGGAGAAACAUUUUUGCCUAUGAGGAGCAAAGAGAGCUGCUUUGCUGAAUGACUGUGAGUAAAUGAGGAUUCUUUGAAGAAGUGCAGGGCUUCUGUUCCUCCGUGUUGUGGGCAGCACACGCCUGCCCUAUUCGUCUUCGUCAUGGCUGCACCUGUGCUACAGAAUGCUCAUAGACUAGUGCUGCCCAUGCAGGGAGCCCAGAGGCUGCACUUUCUCAGUUUACCUCAUGGCUUCAGAGUGACAUGAGGCAUUGAAAUAAGUGAGCAUUGAAUCUGAGGGCUCAGGAGCCACCUUCUACCUUUGCUCCUUUGGUGACAUGCUAGAUGCCCUCUGGUAAGUCAGUUAAAUUCUUUGGGCCUCCUCUGAAAAUUGGAUCCAAUGAGGCCAACACUUCCUGUUUCACAGGGUUACAUGGGGCUCACAUGCAAUUCAAGAACAAACUUUGUAAUACGAGGCAAAAGAUACACAAACAAGCAUGUACAUUACUCAGACAAAGGCUUGGUCCUAUGAGACAAUGGGGCAUGUUCUCAUAAGAUUCCUGUGAACUUUGUAGGCUCUUGGGGCUACAGGAAAACAAUUUUAAUUGAAGAGAGAAAGAAGAAUGAGACCAGGAUGUGGCCAUGGGUGAUCUCAGCUACAGAGCAUCCUGCCCAAGAAGCCUUGGCACAGUCCACGUGAUGUCAUGCCCCAGAGUUAAAGAAACUAGUAACUCACUGCAAUUCUUGAGUUUAUAAGAUGACAGACAAAAAAGAAACAACGUGUGGAGAUGUUGAAACUCCCUCUGCUUAUGAGAUAAAAAGAACUGGCUGAAAUUGGUUGGAACCAAUGUGGCCAAAUAAAGUCUGCACAGAACAAGCUUGCUGAUGUCACAGCCUGAAUUUCAACACAAGUUUCAUACUAACUACCCCCAAAUUUGCACAUGAGACCCAUGAGGAGGUAUGAAGAGAUAACUGUGUGAGGCUGAGGACUUUCCAGACCUCCCUUUUCCUUCUACCAAUUACCUACUAACCCCAGAAUCCACCCCUAAACCUUUUCUAAUAAAAUUACUGCCUUAAAGCCAGCACAGGAAGACAGAUUUGAGCUGUACUUCUGUCUCCUUGUUGGUUGAUGUACAAUAAAA